GACGAACGCUGGCGGCGUGCUUAACACAUGCAAGUCGAACGGAAAGGCCCUGCUUUUGUGGGGUGCUCGAGUGGCGAACGGGUGAGUAACACGUGAGUAACCUGCCCUUGACUUUGGGAUAACUUCAGGAAACUGGGGCUAAUACCGGAUAGGAGCUCCUGCUGCAUGGUGGGGGUUGGAAAGUUUCGGCGGUUGGGGAUGGACUCGCGGCUUAUCAGCUUGUUGGUGGGGUAGUGGCUUACCAAGGCUUUGACAGGUAGCCGGCCUGAGAGGGUGACCGGCCACAUUGGGACUGCGAUACGGCCCAGACUCCUACGGGAGGCAGCAGUGGGGAAUAUUGCACAAUGGGAGGAAGCCUGAUGCAGCAACGCCGCGUGCGGGAUGACGGCCUUCGGGUUGUAAACCGCUUUCGCCUGUGACGAAGCGUGAGUGACGGUAAUGGGUAAAGAAGCACCGGCUAACUACGUG
rnacentral:rRNA from 1 species